UUGUGUGUACACCUGUGUUGAUUACCCUGUGUGUUUAGUUCCUCUCUUUCUCCUUUUGUCAGCUCAUUAAGUCUUAUUCUUGUGGAUUUUAUUGGACUAUCUUUUAUUUGACUAUCUUGGACUUUUUGAAAGUUAACUACGCAACCACGCCAGUGUCCAGGGUCCUGAUGGGGAACUUCACAUCUGAUGCAGAAGCUGUCCAAAGCAGGGCACAUUUGGUCCAGAUUCCCCUCUCCUGACACAAUACUAAGAAAUGAGACGAGGAGCGGAGGUAAAACCACUCAGUGUACGAGUGUACGUCCAUAAUUGAAAAAUUCCCAGCGAUAUGAGAAAAGCAGAGAUUAAACACAUGCAACAAAGGAACCAUAUAAUUUAAAGUUCCUCCAAAGAAGAAGAAGAAGAAGUCGUUUUACAAGCAGGGAAACUUUAA